GACAGUAUCUGAUUUGCUGUCUGUGAAAGAGUGGGAAAGAGAGCCUAAUCAGAAAGCAGCAGUCAAUCUUGGCUGAGGAGGUAUAUGCUGGAGAAUGAAGCUGCCCAAACCGAUGGGACCUGAGGAGUGAAGCCCUAAGAAAGCACCUCAGGAAAUCAGCCCAAAUUCCCACUACAAAUUUCCUUUCAAACAUUGGCUGAUUCUUAAGUAGCAUAUGCACGGGAUAAGACCCUCAAAACCCACUGAAAAACAGUAUGCAGAAAACUAAAAGCUGAGCAGAGAAGUCGGCAGCCAUGGAGACAGAGACUGGAUUGUUCAAAGCCUGUUCUUCCAGGUCUGCUCUCCAUCCUUUGACCUUGACCUCUAUGCAGAUGGCUGAUGGACUACAUUGAUAGAUCCCCGUGACCGCUAGCUGUCAAUUAUGUUUGACGAAAAGGAAGCCCAGGCAGAAGAUGGGAAAGGAAGAGAGAAGAG
rnacentral:lncRNA from 1 species